rnacentral:rRNA from 1 species
GACGAACGCUGGCGGCGUGCUUAACACAUGCAAGUCGAACGUGAUUUUUGUGGAAAUUCUUUCGGGAAUGGAAAUGAAAUGAAAGUGGCGAACGGGUGAGUAACACGUGAGCAACCUACCUUACACAGGGGGAUAGCCGUUGGAAACGACGAUUAAUACCGCAUGAGACCACAGAAUCGCAUGAUAUAGGGGUCAAAGAUUUAUCGGUGUAAGAAGGGCUCGCGUCUGAUUAGCUAGUUGGAAGGGUAAAGGCCUACCAAGGCGACGAUCAGUAGCCGGUCUGAGAGGAUGAACGGCCACAUUGGAACUGAGACACGGUCCAAACUCCUACGGGAGGCAGCAGUGGGGAAUAUUGCACAAUGGGGGGAACCCUGAUGCAGCGACGCCGCGUGAGCGAAGAAGGUUUUCGAGUCGUAAAGCUCUGUCCUAUGAGAAGAUAAUGACGGUAUCAUAGGAGGAAGCCCCGGCUAAAUACGUGCCAGCAGCCGCGGUAAUACGUAUGGGGCGAGCGUUGUCCGGAAUUAUUGGGCGUAAAGGGUACGUAGGCGGCCUUUUAAGUCAGGUGUGAAAGCGUGAGGCUUAACCUCAUUAAGCACUUGAAACUGGAAGACUUGAGUGAAGGAGAGGAAAGUGGAAUUCCUAGUGUAGCGGUGAAAUGCGUAGAUAUUAGGAGGAAUACCGGUGGCGAAGGCGACUUUCUGGACUUUUACUGACGCUCAGGUACGAAAGCGUGGGGAGCAAACAGG